rnacentral:rRNA from 1 species
UUGGAGGGCAAGUCUGGUGCCAGCAGCCGCGGUAAUUCCAGCUCCAAUAGCGUAUAUUAAAGUUGUUGCAGUUAAAAAGCUCGUAGUUGAAUUUCGGGGUUCUACCGUUGGUCGGGCUUUGUCUGUACUGGUGUGUAGAAUUUCUACCUUCUGGGGAACCAUCAUGCUAUUAAUUUAGCGUGGUGGGAAACCAGGACCUUUACCUUGAAAAAAUUAGUGUGUUCAAAGCAGGCUUAUGUCUGAAUACAUUAGCGUGGAAUAAUAGAAUAGGACGGUGGUCCUGUUUUGUUGGUUUCUGAGUCACCGUAAUGAUUAAUAGGGAUAGUUGGGGGCAUUAGUGUUCAAUUGUCAGAGGUGAAAUUCUUGGAUUUAUUGAAGACUAACUUCUGCGAAAGCAUUUGCCAAGGAUGCUUUCAUUAAUCAAGAACGAAAGUUAGGGGAUCGAAGACGAUCAGAUACCGUCGUAGUCUUAACCAUAAACUAUGCCGACUAGGGAUCGGAUGAUGUUAAUGUUUUAAUGACUCAUUCGGCGCCUUACGGGAAAC